UGAAAAUGAAGAGAUGGUGACACGUGUC
rnacentral:piRNA from 1 species